GCCAAUGCCGGGCAGGGAGGCGGGGGAAUACGUGGGGUGCGAGGGUUGUCCGGAAGGAUUGGGCGUAAAGGGCUCGGAGGCGGUUGGUCGGGGCGGGAGUGAAAACCUCAGGCGUAACAUGUGGCGUGCUUUCGAUACGGGCAGACUUGAGGCAUGCAGGGGAGAACGGAAUUCCUGGUGUAGCGGUGAAAUGCGCAGAUAUCAGGAGGAACACCGGUGGCGAAGGCGGUUCUCUGGGCAUGUUCUGACGCUGAGGAGCGAAAGUGUGGGGAGCGAACAGGAUUGGAUACCCGAGUAGUC
rnacentral:rRNA from 1 species